UAUAAUGCAUACAAAAGUUGAAAGGACAAUCUGAUGAUUCUCCAUUAUGCCUGGCAUUAAAGUAGCUUUGAGUAUGAUGCAUUAAUAGAUUUCUUUGUAUUUUACAGCCUCCACCAGAAAAGUUCUCCUGCUACAAAAUCUGAUUUGAACGGCUAAUGUAAGAUUCAAAAUUUUCCGCUUGUUUUGAUUCAGAGAGGCAAUAUUUUGAAUAUCUUGGAAGCCAUUUGAGGAGAUUUGAAGUUGUUGCAUGGCUAUUCAAAAACUGCACCUUCAGCUCAAACAUAUAUUCAACCUUCGCCUCCCGCAGACAUAGGAAACUGAACAUUGAAAUUAGUCACAUUUAAUUGUUUACAUGAGAACAAAAAAGGUUUUUGUGUUUGAGUCUGUGAGAGUCAGGGACAGAAAUUGAGAGAGGGUAAAAAAUAGAGGUAGAGAGAGACGCACCUGAGCUGAACUGAGGAAAAUAAAUUCACAAAAUUGACAUUUCACUUUGGGUCCCAACCGAUAGUUUAGGAAAGGUAGAGUUAAAGUUUCAAUGCAUACAGUUACUUUGAAGCAGUUAAGAGUAAUGCCCUCAGAGGACCAACCAAUGCAGAUCCAGGAUAUCAUAGUUUUGUAUGAAGUCCAGGCGGAGAGUGCACGGGAUGAGCGGUGUUUCCGGUAGCGGAACUAAAUCUAACACGUUAUUAUGCAAAAUUCACUGAACCUUUUUCAUAGCGACUAAACUUCUACAAUCGGCCUAAUAUAAUUAGGCUUAUUUAAAUGCGUUCAUUGUGUUGCUGUUUGUUUCCAGCCUACAGUUUGAUACUGAUUGAUUUUAAAAUGUAGGAAAUUUGACUGUUUUGAUCUGUAAUGAAAUUAAGCAAUUGUAAAAUCAAUAAACACCAUAACUUCCACACUACUGCUGUCAUCAUUCAGUUUAAAGUGCUCCCACACAGCUGAGGGCUUCAUUUCGUGUUCCCUUUGUGAACUGGAGCGUUACGUUCACUGCUGUCGGCGAAGGUCAGGCGCGCGGAAAAAACCCUCAGUAAUCGAAUCUCAUAGUUGAAAAUCGAAUGUGUACCCAGCGGUCGAAUAUUCGGGUCCAGCCCAGUAUCGAUACGAUAAAAAGAACCAAAUUUUUAUCUAAAUUUACCAAAUUAUGUAUUUAAACAAUCAAUAAGUUUACUUGAAUGAUAAAAUUGUAAAUUGCUUGAUGAAAUUUUGUAUAAUGCAUGAAAAGCAAAAACAAAUAAAAAUUGACAGAAUCAAGUGUGUUGGAUACCGAAGGCUGAUCAUUGUCUUUUAUAACAACUCAAUAAAAGAAACAAAAUGCAUCCUUUCAAUAAGUCGUCUUUAUUGUAAGUGCAUUCUGGUGGUUCUUUCAAUUGGAGAUGGCAAAUAGAUAUUUUCAUAGUUGUAAUUAACUAUAUGGCUUAUUACACAGUGCAUGAGUGGGAAUGCAUUCCUAAAAGUCUCUAAAUUAACUCAAUAUCUCAUAAGAAAUAAAUCUAAAAUAUCAGUGAAUUAAAUCAUAUUCCUGACAUGAAAACCA